AAUAAACUUUAGGAGUAACUACUAUGUAGUUUGAGAAAUAUCCUUUGAACCUGACGCUGUUUAUACAGCCGGAGGAAAAAGUUAGCACUUUUCA
rnacentral:ncRNA from 2 species